rnacentral:rRNA from 1 species
GAUGAACGCUGGCGGCGUGCCUAAUACAUGCCAGUCGAGCGAACGGACGAGAAGCUUGCUGCUCUGAUGUUAGCGGCGGACGGGUGAGUAACACGUGGAUAACCUACCUAUAAGACUGGGAUAACUUCGGGAAACCGUAGCUAAUACCGGAUAAUACUUUGAACCGCAUGGUUCAAGAGUGAAAGACGGUCUUGCUGUCACUUAUAGAUGGAUCCGCGCUUCAUUAGCUAGUUGGUAAGGUAACGGCUUACCAAGGCAACGAUGCAUAGCCGACCUGAGAGGGUGAUCGGCCACCCUGGAACUGGGACAGGGUCCAGACUACUACGGGAGGCAGCAGUAGGGAAUGUUACGCAAUGGGCGAAAGCCUGACGGAGCAACGCCGCGUGAGAGAUGAAGGUCUUCGGAGCGUAAAACUCUGUUAUGAGGGAAGAACAGAUGUGUAAGUAAAUGUGCACAUCUUGAAGGUACCUAAUCAGAAAGCCACGGCUAACUACGGG